CACCGGCCGGCUGAGGUACCUGGCCGUUGGACUGCUUGGUGAUCUGUGCUGCCGGGAGCUCGCUGCGGGUGAGCACGACGGGGAGCGUGGCGGGAGCACCGGUACAACGGGCCCUGCACGGCGUGAGGGGGGAAGACCUGUAAGGUUUCCUUCAAGGGGCAACCCUAGAAUACCGAUUUCAGUCUUUUCAUUCUACGCAAGCACCUUAAAAGCCUGGGCGCUGUGGCUGCAUGUCUGUCAUACUCCAGCCUUUGUAUCAGGGCUGUGAACACUGCCUCAGAAAUAGGGCAUUGGAGAUAGCGGCUUCCUAAGUAGUGAUUCUGUGCUGCUCACAGAGGAUUUACCCGUGCCAAAUACCUGAGUUAUGUUUAGAAGAAGACUUCAAACAACCUUCACCUCAGCUCAUACAAAAUGCCCUCGGAUGGAAGUCAAGCACUGCACAAAUCAGGAGUCACUUUCGGGGUAGCAUUGUGCAAACCGUGCAGCACGGCUGGCAUCGGCUUCAGCUCAGUGACAGACACGUCCCCCUCACAGCCAGCAUCCCACCCCUCCCAGAACCACCUGCAGCACCACCCUUUCCUUUACACCUUCUAAGUUGUUGCCCGGGACAUUUUAUUAGCCCUGCUCAGCUGUACAGCACAAAGAAUGCGUAUUUCUUCUUCUGCAUAGUGUUGUCUUUACCAGUAAAAUUUAGCUGGGGCUUGAUGUUCAGAAGGGUGAAGAGAUUAUGAGAGAAGGGAAUAACCCAGGCCAGCUGUGUAUAUUCUGACUGCUCAUUUAAGCAAAGGCAAGGAAAGCAGUCUGGCUGCAAAAAGUAAAAUAUUACAGGCUAUAUCAUAAGGUUUGGAUGUGAACAUAUGUACACAAUGCUUCUUUCACAGGAUUCCUGCUGUAAACUUUGUCCUUUACCGGGUGAUUCAAUCCUCUGUAAUGAAAAAGCUGCCCCCACUCUGAACUUUACUGUUUUUUUUUUUUUUUUUUCUUUCCAAAGAAUACUAAGAGACUAAAACAAAAGACACAAGAAAGUAUACUCCAACUUGUGUUCAAAGAAUCUUUCUUGGAAAAUGAAAAGCCAUGGUACCAUUGAGAUCAGCCAUUCAAAGGCACUGAAACUUUGCCACAGCCUUCACAGCUGCUACAGAAGUUCAUUUGAUACAGCGCUGCAUUCCCGGUAUGGUUAAUUCACACUUCUCUGGAAGAAUAUAAACCUUCUAGAGCAAAAUGUGCUGAGGAUGGCUUUCAGCUGCCACGCUCUUACCUAAAGCCAAGUGCUUUGGAAGUGCAGUACAGGGAGAAAAAAAUACUUCCUAAGCUCUCUCAUAACACUGAAGAAAAAAUAUUGUGAGACUUGGACCAAACUCCUUGAGAAACAGAUCCACUGUGAAUUUUUCCCUGUUUUCCUGCAUGUGAAUCAUUCCAAAAAGGUACAGCUACAUUGACAAGAUGAAGGAGAAUGAGACAAAACAGAGAGUAGAUGAAGUCAGCCCAUGCAUUGAAAGUGAGCCAAAUCGUGAAGGUGACUCAUUAUGAAGAUGUAAACAAUCCCGGUUGGUGACUCAGUGGUGAGGAAGCUUGGCUAAGACAUCUGUAGUCCAUAUAAAGAAAACAGGAUGAGAUUUCUCUGGGGUAUAGUGAACACAACUGAGUAAUUGCUUCGUGGCUUUGUGAAAACUAUCAAAUAUAUAACAUCAGAGAUGUUCUGCAUUAGACAGAGAAGCGCUUUGCACACAGCAACUAAGUACCAACUUUGAGAAUUAUCAAUUCACCAGGAUGAGCUGUAGUGAUGAGCUGGAGUUCCCUCAUUUUCUUUGUGCCCAUCCUCAUGUGAUAUGCUAUGCUGUUUUCAUGUGGCUGAGCUGCCUUGGGACAGUCUUGCAGUAGUUUGUGAAAUUAAAUGCUGAAGUACAGGAGGGAAACUAUGAAGUGAGAAGUUUCAAACUUCAUAUUUCUUGAAUAAUGUUUUUGGUUUCACUCUGAUUCAGAAUUGAUGUCAAAAUAACAGAAUGGGUCUUUAAUGCAUACUCUCAUUGCAAUGAGAAUACGCUGUCCUCAUACAUUUAUUUAACAGGCCUUACUUUAAAGUACAUGCACAAAAUUCUUUGCAUGAAGUAGCCAGCAGUUGUUGGGGUCUCCAUCCUGGUGAAACACUCCUUAGCGCUCCCUGGUGUUGUGAGAAUGGUGGUCUUUCAAACAUGACUUUUUAGGAGAAGGCAUUUCUCUGUUUCUGAUUCUGGUUCCAGCGUUUGUUCAGUUUGUUCUGAUCACCUUUUCAGCCAGCUCUCCUAAACCGUGUAAAAAAGAGGGACCUAAUAAAAUAAAGAAAUUAGCUGUAGCUUUCAGGAAAAUCAUGAAUAUUUUUCAGACUAUUGAUAAAGUUGUAAGAUUUUAAAGAGACUCCACUUCUGUGUGUGGUGUAGGAUACUAGAUCAUUUGUGCAGCAUGCAUUCACAGUUACUUGAAGAACAUUAUUUUCAGUGGUGAAUUUAGUGGUAAACUCCCUGCUUCACUCAACUGCUACAGUUAUGUAGCCUCUUCCUAAAAGUGGUUUUGAAAAAGCUUAUCUUAAUUUUCUUUUCAUGGACAAUAGUAAAAAUGAAAAUUGACUUAUUUUUGUCUGCUUCUUGACUCAUAAGUUAUUCUAUUAUUAUGUUUUACUAGUAUAUUAACCAUGAAAUCUAAAGCUAUUUAUUAUUUAAUGUGCCAAAAUUGUGAAACUUUUUCUCAAGAGAAAUUUAAAAGUAUACAUUUUAAAAGAUUAGAAGUGAGUUCACAAUUUUAAGUUCAGUCAUGGUGUUAUCACAUUCUGUGGUUACAGUUUCUUGACAAAAGAAUAUAUAUAUAUUAAAACAUUCCUUUGUGGACUUCAUUUGUGGCAUUUUCUUGCCUUCUAUCACUUUGAUGUGUGUAUGUGCACUGUGGGGAACUGUGGUUUGCAAAUAGAAAUUACCCAACAGAUAGAUGGAUAAGAUUAUCCCUAAUUCCUGUUAAAGGGAGCUAAGGAUGCAGAUUGUUUGGAUAUUUUCAAAUAUUUCACCAAAGUGGAUAUGUGGUCUAACUUUAUUACUGUGGGAAAGCCACAGGCAACAUUCUAAGUUGUGUAAACUGAUACAGUAACUUCAGCUUUGCUGAUUUAUGGU